AGAUGACUGCAUAAAGGAGAGGAGGCUUGGAUUUGCCUGGGCCUACAUGAAGGUCGACUUCUCCCGACCGUUAAGACCGGGAGCACAUAUCAUGGGCUCGAAGGGUCCCUUCCGGCAAAGGUUCAUUUACAAGAACCUUGAUGGCCUCUGUCAUCGGUGCGGAUGGAUGCAUUCACCGAAGGAGGUGUUCUCAACAAGUGCGGG
rnacentral:lncRNA from 1 species